CGGACACUAGAGCGAUUACAUCAAUUUUGUGUUAGUGGCAGACGAGGUAGUAACACGUAGGAACCUCCUCUUAAGUCGGGAAUAACUAGUCGAAAGAUUGGCUAAUACUCGAUGUGAUCUCCGGAUCAAAGUCGCAAGACGCUUAGGAAAGGGCCUGCGGGCUAUCAGCUAGAUGGUAGGGUAAUGGCCUACCAUGGCUAUGACGGCUAGGGGAGCUGAGAGGCUGACCCCCACCGAUGGGACUGAGACACGGCCCAUACACCUACGGGUGGCUGCAGUCGAGAAUCUUCCGCAAUGGACGAAAGUCUGACGGAGCGACGCCGCGUGAUGGAUGAAGUCCCUCUGGGACGUAAACAUCUUUUGUCGAGGAGAAAGUUUUGAUAGUACUCGAAGAAUAAGGGGUUGCUAAACUCGUGCCAGCA
rnacentral:rRNA from 1 species